UACGAACGCUGGCGGCGUGCUUAACACAUGCAAGUCGAACGGUGAACCUCUUCGGAGGGGCUCAGUGGCGAACGGGUGAGUAACACGUGGGCAACCUGCCCCCGGCUCUGGGAUAACUCCAAGAAAUUGGGGCUAAUACCGUAUGUUCACCGCUUCCCGCAUGUGUGGUGGUGAAAAGGGUUUCCGGCUGGGGAUGGGGCCGCGGCCCAUCAGCUUGUGGGGGGGGUAGUGGCCUACCAAGGCGAGGACGGGUAGCCGGACUGAGAGGGGGAGCGGCCCAACUGGGACUGAGAAGCGGCCCAGCCUCCUACGGGAGGCAGCAGUGGGGAAUAGUGCGCAAUGGGCGGAAGCCAGACCCAGCGCAGCCGCGUGGGGGAUGACGGCCUUCCGGUUGUAAACCUCUUCCAGCAGGGACGAAGCGCAAGUGACGGUACCUGCAGAAGAAGCACCGGCCAACUACGUG
rnacentral:rRNA from 1 species